GCUCGGGUGGUGGAACUGGUAUACACGACAGACUUAAAAUCUGUUGCCUCACGGCUUGCGAGUUCGAGUCUCGCCCCGAGCA
rnacentral:tRNA from 1 species